ensembl:lincRNA 9530059O14Rik RIKEN cDNA 9530059O14 gene
CGCCCGCUCGCUCGAGCUCGGCGCGGACCCGCCCGGGAGCGCUCCUCGCAGCAGCUGCCCGGGUUCCCACCGCCCUACCGGGCGCGAGCGAUCAGACUACCUCGGAGGGCGCGCUCAGACACCCAGAUGUCCGGCCACCUCAGUGGGUACCCUCGGCACCCUGUGAUCCGACCACCCGCGGAGGCGCGCUAGCCCUCUGGGUGGGCGUGCUGGGCUUCUCUGCGGCGGAAGUCUGGACCACAGAUUGUGACUUCUUUUCUAGCAGUAGGUGUUGACUGGUCCGACUGCUGCCCUUCUGCCCAAGAGUAGUUCAAACUGGCCUCUAACUGAACCUGGAACUCACUGACUGAACUCGAGUUGCUGUUGAGAAAGCCCCAGGGACUGUUUGGUCUUCUCCCGCUCAAAAUUUGCGAUGCAGUGCCUCCUCAGGCCCAUCAAAGUCUUCCAGGAUCACGCAGAGGACCAUGCCACAGUCGGAAGUGAGGUAAACAAGUCUCCUCAUUGCUAUAUUUUGUAAUUAUCAGACAAGAGAGUGGAGUUCCCGCCUGAAGCCCCUCAGGCCUGUGUGAAGCUUAACCAUGUAUGUACUCAAUGUAGGUGUGAUCAGUUUUCAGAUCCAUGCAAAUGUGAGCUGACUUUCCCCUGAUGUUUGCUGAGUGCAUGCCAACAGCAUUCUGCAUGGCUAACCUGCCUCAGCAACCAAAUCCCUGGAACUGUCAUAUGCAGAGGGUCUGUGGUGUGGCCAUUUUAUAAAUGAGCCACGGGAAGGCCAGAGAAAGAAACAGCAUGCUCCAAGUCAGAGCAGAAGGCAGCUUCCCUAGGAUCUGUUUAAUGUUUGCUUCUUUACAACACAGGAUCUCGUGAAACCCAAGCUAGCCUCAGACUCAACUGCAUAGCUGAGGAUACCCUUGAACUUGAUUCUCUAAUAUUUCUACCUCAUACCCAGUUCAUGAGGUAAUGCGGAUAGAACCCAGGGCUUCCUGAAUACUAGGAAGGCACUCUACCAACUGAGCUACAUCCCCAGAUCCUCCUCUGGGGAUAAGCCCAGGUUCAAAUCCAAGGCCUUAACAACAUCGGGACACGGACAUAAGACACAGCACUCUACUGGACCUGGGCAUGCUCCUACCCUGUCUAGUGAUCGCAAAAGCCAUCUUUUUAACAGCCCGCGUUAUGAUUCUACCAUCAGACCAGAGAGGCCCUAGAUAGCCCAGCUUCCCAUUGUAAGUCAUCUUCGACAUGUUUAACCGAUGGCUGUGUGGGACUGCUAGAAAGUUUGGAAAUCACCAAGCGCUUUGACUUUCCUGCCCACAAAAACAGUUGGCCUUGGCAGAUGUCCAACGCGUUGACCUUAGAUCCAUUUAAUGAAAACCCUAUUAAUUCAAAAAGAAAGAAAGAAAAUAAGGCAAAAUAGGACAGGCAGUAGAAAGAUCUUUACAAAAAUCUUGUGUGCCCUUCCUCCACUGUUGCCUUGACCAGACAGGGCCACAAAGCUGAUACGACAGGAUUAGGACAAUUGCUUUGUUAACACACAAGCACAGCGUGACAUGAACUCCAGGAAAGGCAUUUGGCAGGAUUAACCUGCUGAGGAUAAAGAUGUAGCAGACGGGACCUGAAUUAAUGGACUGGUAUGGCCAAAGUGGAGAAAUCUAUUUGCAUGUAAUAUUAACUGUACUAAUAAACUCCAGGCGGGGAUCCAACAGCCCGGGAGCCUCUUUGAACCAGGACUUGAUCCCUGCACAUCCUAUCUCUGCUAAGAUGUGUGAGUGUAAGCCGGCUGCCUGCAGAUUACCACUCUGUCCUUGGUGCCUGCAAUAGCACAAGCCCUUUACUGACUGCAACUCAAGCAGAUCCCACUUACAAUAUUAUUUACAACCUAUGGAAAAGCAAUGAAGAAAUGCAGGUUCAACACAUGUAGAAAAUAUCCACCAGGGCCUGGAGAGAUGGCUCAGUAAUUAAGAGCCCUGGCUAUUCCUCCAGAGGACCCGGGUUCAAUUUGUAGCAUCCAUGGGGCAGCUAAGAGUCAUCUAAAGCCCAUCUGAAGCCCUCUUCUGACAUCUGCAGGCAUGGUGCAUACAUGGUACAUACACACACAUGC